GAUGAACGCUAGCGGCAGGCCUAAUACAUGCAAGUCGAACGGUGUCUUCGGACAUAGUGGCGCACGGGUGCGUAACACGUAUGCAACCUACCUUACAUUGGGGGAUAGCCUUUCGAAAGGGAGAUUAAUACCGCAUAAGACAGUAGCUGGGCAUCCAGCAGCUGUUAAAGAUAUAUCGAUGUAAGCUGGGCAUGCGUCCAAUUAGCUAGUUGUUGAGGUAACGGCUCACCAAGGCAAUGAUUGGUAGGGGAACUGAGAGGUCAAUCCCCCACACUGGCACUGAGAUACGGGCCAGACUCCUACGGGAGGCAGCAGUAGGGAAUAUUGGGCAAUGGACGAAAGUCUGACCCAGCCAUGCCGCGUGCAGGAUGAAGGCGUUAUGCGUUGUAAACUGCUUUUAUACAGGAAGAAACGACUCUUGCGAGAGGCAUUGACGGUACUGUAUGAAUAAGCACCGGCUAACUCCGUGCCAGCCGCCGCAGUAA
rnacentral:rRNA from 1 species